rnacentral:rRNA from 1 species
CCUACGGGGGGCUGCAGUGGGGAAUAUUGGACAAUGGGGGCAACCCUGAUCCAGCCAUGCCGCGUGUGUGAAGAAGGCCCUCGGGUUGUAAAGCACUUUCAGUGAGGAAGAACGCCUGGUGGUUAAUACCCAUCAGGAAAGACAUCACUCUCAGAAGAAGCACCGGCUAACUCCGUGCCAGCAGCCGCGGUAAUACGGAGGGUGCGAGCGUUAAUCGGAAUUACUGGGCGUAAAGCGCGCGUAGGUGGCUUGAUAAGCCGGUUGUGAAAGCCCCGGGCUCAACCUGGGAACGGCAUCCGGAACUGUCAAGCUAGAGUGCAGGAGAGGAAGGUAGAAUUCCCGGUGUAGCGGUGAAAUGCGUAGAGAUCGGGAGGAAUACCAGUGGCGAAGGCGGCCUUCUGGACUGACACUGACACUGAGGUGCGAAAGCGUGGGUAGCAAACAGGAUUAGAUACCCGGGUAGUC